rnacentral:rRNA from 1 species
UUGUCCAGGCAAAUCCGGAUAAUCAAGGCUGAGGUGUGAUGACGAGGCACUACGGUGCUGAAGUAACAAAUGCCCUGCUUCCAGGAAAAGCCUCUAAGCAUCAGGUAACAUCAAAUCGUACCCCAAACCGACACAGGUGGUCAGGUAGAGAAUACCAAGGCGCUUGAGAGAACUCGGGUGAAGGAACUAGGCAAAAUGGUGCCGUAACUUCGGGAGAAGGCACGCUGGUGUGUAGGUGAAGUCCCUGCGGAUGGAGCUGAGACCAGUCGAAGAUACCAGCUGGCUGCAACUGUUUAUUAAAAACACAGCACUGUGCAAACACGAAAGUGGACGUAUACGGUGUGACGCCUGCCCGGUGCCGGAAGGUUAAUUGAUGGGGUUAUCCGUAAGGAGAAGCUCUUGAUCGAAGCCCCGGUAAACGGCGGCCGUAACUAUAACGGUCCUAAGGUAGCGAAAUUCCUUGUCGGGUAAGUUCCGACCUGCACGAAUGGCGUAAUGAUGGCCAGGCUGUCUCCACCCGAGACUCAGUGAAAUUGAACUCGCUGUGAAGAUGCAGUGUACCCGCGGCAAGACGGAAAGACCCCGUGAACCUUUACUAUAGCUUGACACUGAACAUUGAGCCUUGAUGUGUAGGAUAGGUGGGAGGCUUUGAAGCGUGGACGCCAGUCUGCGUGGAGCCAACCUUGAAAUACCACCCUUUAAUGUUUGAUGUUCUAACGUUGGCCCCUUACCGGGGUUGCGGACAGUGUCUGGUGGGUAGUUUGACUGGGGCGGUCUCCUCCCAAAGCGUAACGGAGGAGCACGAAGGUUAGCUAAUCCUGGUCGGACAUCAGGAGGUUAGUGCAAUGGCAUAAGCUAGCUUGACUGCGAGCGUGACGGCGCGAGCAGGUGCGAAAGCAGGUCAUAGUGAUCCGGUGGUUCUGAAUGGAAGGGCCAUCGCUCAACGGAUAAAAGGUACUCCGGGGAUAACAGGCUGAUACCGCCCAAGAGUUCAUAUCGACGGCGGUGUUUGGCACCUCGAUGUCGGCUCAUCACAUCCUGGGGCUGAAGUAGGUCCCAAGGGUAUGGCUGUUCGCCAUUUAAAGUGGUACGCGAGCUGGGUUUAGAACGUCGUGAGACAGUUCGGUCCCUAUCUGCCGUGGGCGCUGGAGAAUUGAGGGGGGCUGCUCCUAGUACGAGAGGACCGGAGUGGACGCAUCACUGGUGUUCGGGUUGUCAUGCCAAUGGCACUGCCCGGUAGCUAAAUGCGGAAGAGAUAAGUGCUGAAAGCAUCUAAGCACGAAACUUGCCCCGAGAUGAGUUCUCCCUGAGACUUUAAGUCUCCUGAAGGAACGUUGAAGACGACGACGUUGAUAGGCCGGGUGUGUAAGCGCAG